rnacentral:lncRNA from 1 species
CUUACUGUAACCAACAUACACCGCAAGGUUCCGAAUGGCUAGAUAAUCAAGUAGCCAUCCUAAUGACUUCUCGUGUUGGCCAUACUCAGUACCCUUGAUCUCUAUUAAGCAUCUACACUCUCACUCCAAUAUCGCCAUACUGUCGACUCGAGACUCAUUUAUCCAAAAAAAAAUAUCGAUCUAUCCGGAUUAAUCACCAUCCCCAUG